UGGGGAAUAUUGCACAAUGGGGCGCAAGCCUGAUGCAGCAACGCCGCGUGAGGGAAGACGGUCUUCGGAUUGUAAACCUUUGUCUUUGGUGAAGAAGAAAGUGACGGUAGCCAAGGAGGAAGCCACGGCUAACUACGUGCCAGCAGCCGCGGUAAUACGUAGGUGGCAAGCGUUGUCCGGAAUUACUGGGUGUAAAGGGAGCGCAGGCGGGACAGCAAGUUGGAUGUGAAAAUACCGGGGCUUAACCACGGAGCUGCAUCCAAAACUAGUUGUUCUUGAGUGAAGUAGAGGUAGGCGGAAUUCCGAGUGUAGCGGUGAAAUGCGUAGAUAUUCGGAGGAACACCAGUGGCGAAGGCGGCCUACUGGGCUUUAACUGACGCUGAGGCUCGAAAGUGUGGGGAGCAAACAGGAUUAGAUACCCUGGUAGU
rnacentral:rRNA from 1 species